rnacentral:misc_RNA from 1 species
GGUGCAAAGUUCUCGUCAAUAGAAACGAAUUAAGUUCAAACAGCAGGUAAUUGCUAUAAUUCGUUGAAGAGUUCCCUCGACUAUCUUUCGUCUCCAUCAUCAGACUGUAAUGGCACUUGUAACUCACAUAGGUGCAAAGUUCUCGUCAAUAGAAACGAAUUAAGUUCAAACAGCAGGUAAUUGCUAUAAGUCGUUGAAGAGUACCCUCGACUAUCUUUCGUCUCCAUCAUCAGACUUUAAUGGCACUUAUAACUCAUAUAGGUGCAAAGUUCUCAUCAAUAGAAACGAAUUAAGUUCAAACAGCAGGUAAUUGCUAUAAAUCGGUAAAGAGUUCCCUCGACUAACUUUUG